rnacentral:rRNA from 1 species
GACGAACGCUGGCGGCGCGCUUAACACAUGCAAGUCGAGCGAGAACCAGACCUUCGGGUCUGGGGACAGCGGCGAACGGGUGAGUAACACGUGGGUAAUCAACCCUCGGUACUGGGAUAGCCCGGGGAAACCCGGAUUAAUACCGGAUGGCCCUUCGGAUCUUCGGUUCUGAAGGAAAAGGUAGCUUCGGCCUCCGACCGGGGACGAGCCCGCGGCGGCUUAGCUUGUUGGUGGGGUAACGGCCUACCAAGGCGGCGAGCCGUAGCUGGUCUGAGAGGACGAUCAGCCACACUGGGACUGAGACACGGCCCAGACUCCUACGGGAGGCAGCAGUGGGGAAUCUUGCGCUAAUGCGGGAAACCGUGACGCAGCGACGCCGCGUGAGGGAAGAAGGCCUUCGGGUUGUAAACCUCUUUCAGGAGGGACGAAGCUACUCGGGUUAAUAGCCCAGAGGGUGACGGUACCUCCAGAAGAAGCCCCGGCUAACUACGUGCCAGCAGCCGCGGUAACAC